AUACCUACCUGGCAGAGGAGAUACCAUGAUCACGAAGGUGGUUUUCCCAGGGUGAGGCUUAUCCAUUGCACUCCACAUGUGCUGAUCCCUGCGAUUUCCCCAAAUGAAAAAGAAAAAAGAAAAAGAAAAACACACUUUACUGCCCAAAGUCUGCCCAUCUAACUUAUGUUUUUAUAACA
rnacentral:snRNA from 1 species